rnacentral:rRNA from 1 species
UACGAAGGGGGCUAGCGUUGUUCGGAUUUACUGGGCGUAAAGCGCACGUAGGCGGAUCUUUAAGUCAGAGGUGAAAUCCCAAGGCUCAACCUUGGAACUGCCUUUGAUACUGGGGAUCUUGAGUCCGGGAGAGGUGAGUGGAACUGCGAGUGUAGAGGUGAAAUUCGUAGAUAUUAGGAAGAACACCAGUGGCGAAGGCGGCUCACUGGCCCGGUACUGACGCUGAGGCGCGAAAGCGUGGGGAGCAAACAGG